UGAGGGAAUAUUGGGUCAAUGGGGCGGGAGCCUGAACCAGCCAAGUCGCGUGAGGGAGGAAGGUCCUACGGAUUGUAAACCUCUUUAGCCGGGGAGCAACGUGCGCCACGCGUGGCGCAGUGAGAGUACCCGGAGAAUAAGCAUCGGCUAACUCCGUGCCAGCAGCCGCGGUAAUACGGAGGAUGCGAGCGUUAUCCGGAUUUAUUGGGUUUAAAGGGAGCGUAGGCGGGCUAUUAAGUCAGCUGUGAAAUCCGGCGGCUCAACCGUCGGCCUGCAGUUGAUACUGGUGGUCUUGAGUGCGCGCAGGGGCGUUGGAAUUCAUGGUGUAGCGGUGAAAUGCUCAGAUAUCAUGAAGAACUCCGAUCGCGAAGGCAGAUGCCCGGAGCGCAACUGACGCUGAGGCUCGAAAGUGCGGGUAU
rnacentral:rRNA from 1 species